rnacentral:tRNA from 1 species
GGGCACAUGGUGUAGUUGGUUAUCACGCCCGCUUAGCAUCGGUUUACGGUCUGCGGGCGGUCCCCGGUUCAAUUCCGGGUGUGUCCA